CUGGGGUGCGGGAGGAGGUGGGAGGGUGAGGCUGUGGCCAGCAGGAGCCAGGCCUCAGGGUGCCAGCCUGGACCAGGAGCAUGUGCUGGGGGCUUGCUUUCCGCAAUCAGGCACUUUUUCAAGUUGGUCCUGAACGGUUCUGGACUGGAUGGCAGGCUGCUGUGUGUGAUUGAGAAUGUUGCCUGUCUGAGCCCUGAGAUGAGCUGAGGGUUCCUCCUCCCCAGCCAGCACCAGCCUCACACAGCCCUUGUAAAUCUGAAAGUGCUGUUGGUAGCAACCAGGGAUGGGCAGAGGCAGCCCUGUCCUGAGGGUGACAUGAAAGUGAGAGCAAGCUGAAGCUCCAGUUGGCUUAGUCUUCAAAAGUGUCACUUUCAGAUUAUAUCCCUCAGCUUUAAAAUAUCCUUCUUUGAAGUCCAUCCUGCUCUGCCCACUAUUUGUCCCCGGUGGUCACUUCCUCCUCUGUGCUCCCGUGGCCUGGGAUUCACACCAGGAAAGAACGCCACGAAGAAGGAAUGAUUUUGUGAACAAUUUGGCAUGAGGAGAGAAAGGAACCUGAAGUUUUUAGCAAGGAAGGGCCCUGAUGAUGGUUGCCUUCAACAUUGCCUCAAUACUCAACAUCCAAGACAGCCCUGGCUUAGCAACUGGAAUCACGGAUGGGGAAAAUUUUUUCUCAAGCACAUGUGAAAUUUGGCUGUCAGACCACCUUCAUCUGCACAGAAAGCUAAAUGUAUUGCCUAGUUUUGCAACUUCAUAUGACUGUUCGCCAAACUGGAAUAAUUGUUGCAUUUGUGUGUGACUUCUCAGUAUUCCUAUGGCAUUACCACCAUAGCACCCCUAUGUCAAAUGGUGAAAGAAUUAGGUGAGGUUUUGUGAACGUUUAGAGUAACUUUGUUUUUUUGCAUCAACAUUCAAGAAGCACUCCUUCCCUUCCACUGCAGUAGAACCUUGAGGUCCCUCUCAGAUUUCUGUGGGGUGUCUGUGGUCUGCUGGAGCAUGGCCAGGUCUGGGCAGCUGUCACUUUCCUUCUGCUUCCCAGUACAGAGGCCUAUCUGGUGCUCAGAAAAGCUUCCUAAGUAAGAAUGCAGGUGUCUCACAUUAAGAAGGGAACCUUCUGUCCAUCUCCAGCUUAAGUAUCAACGUAUCCAGCAGCCUCAAGUCUAUCCAAACCUUAUUCAUUUUUCCCCACUUUGUUUUCAUAAUUUGACCACAGAACUGAGCGUCAAGUAUAUAUGAACCCAAGUUGUUUGUUCUCUUGUAGUUUGUUUUAGUGUUGUUCUUUCAGAUUAUAAUCUCAGGGCAGGAGUUCUGUCAAAAUUCUCACUUGAUCUUAAAAAGCCAAUUACAGGGCAAGAUGAAAAGUGGCUUCUUAGUAAACAUUUGCUAGCUUGAUACCUGACUCCACUCCUGCCUAUUAAAAGCAUUUCGCUUGAAAGUAUGCAAUGGUUAGAAGCAUCUAGAAAGUCGAGGUCUGAUGAUUUCACACACAUAUUUUGGGGUGCUAAAUUAAAGCUCUCCUUUGUAAAACAGUGCAUGAUGUCUUGGUGCUCUCAGGAUUGAAUGGUGAACAUACUGGCAGAGGCAAUUUCAGAUCCAAGUGAAAGACAGUUUUCACCUGGUGGUAAGGGUAGAUGUGUACUGAAACAACAAUCUAGGGCCGUCUUCUUUGUACCACAAGCUUAAUAAUUUGUAUGGCUAUGCUGUCUUCUUAGCUGCUUGCUGGUGGUGAAAAUCAGUUAUUUUCACUGGCUGAUUGACAGUUGGCCAGCACUGACCCUUCUGAAGACCUGUAUUUAUUUCUUGGAGGGGGUACCCUUGGUUUUAUUUUAUUCCUUUUGCGCCCUCACCCUACUUCAUGCCUUGCUGGGAAUAGGAACAGUGGUGCAGACUUAAGAGAAGAGGCCAAGGAAGAGCAAGUGAAAUCUGCUGGUCACCGUAGAUUUAAGCCCUUAGGAGACAGGGUUGUGUUUCUCCUCCUGGCAGAGUUGCAAUGAGACAAUGUCUAUCAAAUACAAGAAGAGUGGCUGAGUUCAAGGAGGGGUAGAAAUCUGUCAAUGAAAAAUUCUAUAUCACAUUGAAGUUUGGUCAUAGAAGGUAGCUUCUGGUGUUCUGCCCCCUAACCAUGGCAUGCCAUGAUUUAGUCCGUAAUGGACACAGCUUAGUGGAGUUUGUUUCAUCUCCAAACUUCACUCAUUGUUUAAAGAUACUGGCUAGGUGUCAGCACAGCCUGGGCCAGGGAGAGACGAUGGCCCAUUAGUCAUCAUCUGUCAUGCCUAUGGACUGUAGGGACCAGAGCAUUUACACUCAGAAUCACAGAGAUAAUUAGCACAUUGAUGUCAUUGUUCCUAACCACUGAGGCCAUUGAUCCUGUCCCCAGCCUGACUUGAAGGUCUUUGGGAGUUCAGCCAGCCUCCCAACCUGCCUACCACUUUGUUCUAAGAAUCCUACUCAACAGUGGCUUGCAUUUUCUGCUUCUAAGUGGCUUUGCGAUUAUGUAGAAAUUCAUGACGUGAUUUUGUCCUGAUUGAAUAAAGUGCAUCACUUGGUAUAAGGCCUGUGUCUGCCUAUUCCAUUUGAGCUGUAUAUUUUUCAAUGAAGUGGGAUUGUGGUCUCAAUUCAAAUUUUUUUUUUCUAUUGCUUCUACUGCACCAUGAUGGAGCUAAAGAGAAAUGCCUCAUUCAUGAUUAUCAGCUAUGCAAAGAAUGUUCCUUGUGAUGUCUAUGCUAAGCUAGGUUUAGAAGGAAAGAGUAAAAUUUUCCUCAUGGUCUCUCCUUCCUCAG
rnacentral:lncRNA from 1 species